CCAUGGCUAUGUAUGGAUCCCUCGCAGGAAGCUUUCGCUUCUUGAAUCUAUAUAAGGAUAAGGCCUAUUCCAUUUUUUUCUUUCUUUUUUAUCGAGGCUUCUCGCUUCUCUGUCUCAGUGAAAGUGGGAUCACCGAGGCUCCUAAAAGCAGCCGCGAUCUUAUAGACCACCAGGCCUUUCUAAAGCGUUGAGUCCCGUGCUCGCUUUUCGAAGAAUAUGGAGUCCCAUCCUUGAGUAGACGCCCGCGCUCUAAUCCUUACUACAAUGAAAGCUCUGCUUCAUUGCUAUGCCCUUCGACAAGGAUCUUACCUAACCCGAUCUUCCAAUGACUGCAUAACCGCCUUAACCGCUGGACUUGUGACCGGACCUG
rnacentral:lncRNA from 1 species